rnacentral:rRNA from 1 species
AUGCAUGUCUAAGUACAAACCUAACUAAGGUGAAACCGCGAAUGGCUCAUUAAAUCACACCUAAUCUAUUGGAAUGUUAGCAGUUACUUGGAUAACUGAGGUAAUUCUUGAGCUAAUACAUGCGAAAAAUCUCGACUCACGAAGAGAUGCUUUUAUUAGACCAAACCAAUCGGCUUYGGCUGAACAAUUGGUGACUCUGAAUAACUUUGGGCUGAUCGCAUUGCCUUGUGCAGGCGACAUUUCCUAUGAAGGUGUGCCCUAUCAACUGUCGACUGUGAUAUAGACGCUCACAGUGGUUUUGACGGGUAACGAGGAAUCUGGGUUCGAUUUCGGAGAGGGAGCCUUAAAAACGGCUACCACA